rnacentral:rRNA from 1 species
CCUACGGGUGGCAGCAGUGGGGAAUAUUGGACAAUGGGGGCAACCCUGAUCCAGCCAUGCCGCGUGUGUGAAGAAGGCCCUCGGGUUGUAAAGCACUUUCAGUGAGGAAGAACGCCUGGUGGUUAAUACCCAUCAGGAAAGACAUCACUCACAGAAGAAGCACCGGCUAACUCCGUGCCAGCAGCCGCGGUAAUACGGAGGGUGCGAGCGUUAAUCGGAAUUACUGGGCGUAAAGCGCGCGUAGGUGGCUUGAUAAGCCGGUUGUGAAAGCCCCGGGCUCAACCUGGGAACGGCAUCCGGAACUGUCAAGCUAGAGUGCAGGAGAGGAAGGUAGAAUUCCCGGUGUAGCGGUGAACUGCGUAGAGAUCGGGAGGAAUACCAGUGGCGAAGGCGGCCUUCUGGACUGACACUGACACUGAGGUGCGAAAGCGUGGGUAGCAAACAGGAUUAGAUACCCGAGUAGUC